AACGCACCUUGCACUCCUUGGGCAACCUAUGGAGUAUGCCUGUUUGAGUGUCAUGUUAAUAUCAGUUCCCUCGGGUUUUUGUAAUGAAGACCUGCUUAGGUGAAUUGGAAUUGGAGGUUCAAUGCAGGUCCCCCCCCCCAAAGGGAAUCAGCUCCUCUUAAAUGCAUUAGCUGGAGGAUGAAAGCAAAAGUUGCUCUUUAGCCACUGUUCAUCUGCUUAUGGUGUAAUAAUUGUUCCAUCAUGGCUUUUGGAUGAAUUCAGAAAAGAGCUUCUUAUUGCAGUCUUGCUCUGCUUCUAAUUGUCAGUUGACUUAUUGACUCUUUGACCUCAAAUCAGGUAGGAUUACCCGCUGAACUUAA
rnacentral:rRNA from 1 species